UGGCUGCUCUGAAAAGCCAUCUUUGCAUUGUUCCCGUGUCUGGCUUGCGGUUCGCCACAACCACCUCCGCCGCGCGCCUCCUCCGCCACCGCGGACUCCAGCAGCUUUCUCGCCAGAGUCCUCGAACUCUUGCUUUCUUUUUAAUCCGCUGCAUCGGAUCACUGGCGUGCCCCAUCAUGUCAGACGCAGCCGUGGCCACCAGCUCCGAGAUCACCACCGAAGACUUAAAGGAGAAGAAGGAAGUUGUGGAGGAGGCAGAGAAUGGAAGAGACGCGCCUGCUGAUGGGAACGCUAAUGAGGAAAAUGGGGAGCAGGAGGCCGACAAUGAGGUAGAUGAAGAAGAGGAAGACGGGGGGAGGAAGAGGAGGAGGAGGAGGAAGGCUAUGGUGAGGAAGACGAUGGAGACGAAGACGAGGAGGCCGAGGCAGCUACAGGCAAAUGGGCAGCUGAAGACGAUGAGGAUGACGAUGUCGACACCAAGAAGCAGAAGACCGAUGAGGAUGACUAGACAGCAAAAAAGGAAAAGUUAAACUUAACAA